AAAACUUUUCCAAAAGAAAAAAAAAAUCUGUUCUUAUCAGUUUAAUAUUUGAUACGUCCCCCAUCGGGGGACUACAUAUUAAAUGGAUUUUUCGAACAGGGAGUCGGAAAUGGGGCUUGCUCCGUCCGCUCCACGCAUCGACCCGGUAUUGCAGUACCUCCGGGAACGGUGCAACACUU
rnacentral:snRNA from 8 species